AUCAAGGACUACAUAAUUUUUCUCUUACCUGUUGUGCUGUUUAUCAGUCUAGAUAGUUUUGGUGUGAGUUGCUGAUUGUUGGAGAUAUCAGCCGUACAGAUGUCUGCCUUCUCUCCAGCUCUACAGAUCUCCACAGGUGUGCUGCGUUGCUUAACGAGGUGCAGUGCACCUGGCAUGGAGGAGGUGCUGAAGAGCUCCUGUGCCAGUAGCAAAGGGGAGAGGCCUCUGGUGUGGGGACUGCUGGUCCUGCUGCCUCUCAGCCUGAGGUUUUGUUGUCUUACAUGCUUGUUUUAUUUGUCAAUUAAUCCCAUUGAUUUGAGAGUUAAAGAUGUGUUAUGUGGUUAUUUAGGUCAGGUCAUUUUGUUUCACAUAUUUCUGAAAUGUACAGUUCUAUAUUUAAUAAUUUUCCUAGGGCAGCACAAAUCAUAAAAAGUCAGAUUAUAGUCACUUUGGCCACAGUGUGCAGAAUGGGUUCAGUAAUCCUACCUUUUAAAGUCUGUGAUACAUUUAUGGGAAAGAAGAUGCAUUUGUUGCAGUAUAAAUAACAAAGCAUUGAUUUUAUUUGUCUCCUUGCAGAGCAUCUUAUUCAGUAUCUCUUCUCUAAGAUACAGUAUGUGCAGAGGAUAUUCUCACUGUAUAUUUGGAUAACAUCACCUGGGCCCCUUCAGGCUCACAGCUGUUGACUCUGGACCUUCUAUUUAUUUUCCUUUGGAGCAGCACACUGUAGUAGAUGACCGGGAUGAAGCCCAGGACACAUUUGGACUUCUGCAGCUCCUCAGGUUUCACGCCCAGCUCCUGGGGGCUGGACGCCGUCACAUUGGACGAGUCGAUCAUGACCUCAGCGCUUACCCUGGGGAAAAAGGAGGAAGAGGGGAUGGUGGAUGGUGUGAGACCAAGGUGAGACGGCUGCUGUCGGAGGCCAGGUAGCCAGGACAGUUGGGAGAGGGAGAGGGGAUGACAUACAGCAAAGGGCCAAGGGUCAGAGUCAAACCUGGGCCACUGCAAAGGGGCCCACACUCUGUCAGAAACAAUGCCAACAUGUUAUCCUGGUCCCUGAGCUCGGUAUCGAUCAGCACCUGCAGGACCGUCAGAUUGGAUGCAGCUUGCUGUGGUGGUGACUGCAGCAGUAACCAACCAGUUACUGUGUCCUGCUGUGAAAUAUCUUUAUCUUGUUGACUGAUAUCACAUUUCUGUGUUAUUUGUUCAAAUCAUACCAAAGCAGUGACUCCGUCUGGAACAAAUGCUUCAUUAUUCACUCAAUUAAAUCUGCCUUUGACUUAUUUUAGUAAAACAAACAAGCACGGAUGGCUGCGUGGUUACCUCAGUCAUGUGAAACAAUGAUUAAAGAGCAUCAGUUAGCAUUCAAUCUACUGAAGUGGACACAAUCGAAACACAUUAACACAGAGAUUUAAACUCAUAAUAGAUAACAAUAAAAACUGUCAGGAUGUGGGAGAGGCCACGGAUAAUUUACUGUUGGGAGAAUGUGCAGGAUUUAAUUAAGAUAAUUUAAUUAAUGUCUGAUUAGAAGGUUCCUCUUAACUCUGUAUCUUCCUGUCAAUCUCAGACCUUUAUGA